GGGAUAUUAGUUAAUAUUAUAACAUUUAAAUUGCACUUAAAAAUAAUGACCCACAAUCAUUCAUAUAUCUUA
rnacentral:tRNA from 1 species